rnacentral:tRNA from 1 species
GCUUCUAAAGGAUAAUUCAGCGAUUCCACUGGCCUUAGGAGCCAUUACUCUUGGUGCAAAUCCAAGUAGAAGCU